AACUCUUUAUUAAACUCAAAUACUAACUUACAACUUGUUAGGCUUAAAAAGAUGAUAAUGUUCUCCUUCCUCACAGCAAAACUUUUAUACAAAAGCAAAGUCCAAAACAUAAAAGACACGCUCUUCUUUAAGAAGACACCACAAGCCAGUAGCCGCUAAUUCCCAGCUAAACACACAAUGUCCAUACAACAACGUUCACUAAUAACUCUGUCUGGGACAACGAUGAGACAUAGCAUUAGGACAACGACGGGACGUAGCAACACCAAGGAGGAGAACACACUGCGCCACUCGACGGCACCUCCUUAUAUCUGUCUUCUCAUUAACAUAUUAUACUGUGUAUCAAAAAGAAAUAAAUUUUGUACUAUAAACUUCUUAAUA
rnacentral:lncRNA from 1 species